CCCUAAAAAGUUCUUUAAGCA
rnacentral:tRNA from 1 species